GAUGAACGCUAGCUACAGGCUUAACACGUGCAAGUCGAGGGGAAACGACAUCGAAAGCUUGCUUUUGAUGGGCGUCGACCGGCGCACGGGUGAGUAACGCGUAUCCAACCUGCCCACCACUUGGGGAUAACCUUGCGAAAGUAAGACUAAUACCCAAUGAUAUCCCACGAAGACAUCUGAAUGGGAUUAAAGAUUUAUCGGUGAUGGAUGGGGAUGCGUCUGAUUAGCUUGUUGGCGGGGUAACGGCCCACCAAGGCAACGAUCAGUAGGGGUUCUGAGAGGAAGGUCCCCCACAUUGGAACUGAGACACGGUCCAAACUCCUACGGGAGGCAGCAGUGAGGAAUAUUGGUCAAUGGGCGAGAGCCUGAACCAGCCAAGUAGCGUGCAGGAAGACGGCCCUAUGGGUUGUAAACUGCUUUUAUAAGGGAAUAAAGUGGGUCACGUGUGACUUUUUGCAUGUACCUUAUGAAUAAGGACCGGCUAAUUCCGUG
rnacentral:rRNA from 1 species